rnacentral:rRNA from 1 species
UNUGGCUUAACUGGGGGCUUGCGGUGGGUACGGGCCGGCUUGAGUGCGGUAGGGGAGGCUGGAACUCCUGGUGUAGCGGUGGAAUGCGCAGAUAUCGGGAAGAACACCGGUGGCGAAGGCGGGUCUNUGGGCCGUUACUGACGCUGAGGAGCGAAAGCGUGGGGAGCGAACAGGAUUAGAUACCCUGGUAGUNCACGCCGUAAACGUUGGGCACUAGGUGUGGGGGGCCUUUUCCGGGUUUUCCGCGCCGUAGCUAACGCAUUAAGUGCCCCGCCUGGGGAGUACGGCCGCAAGGCUAAAACUCAAAGGAAUUGACGGGGGCCCGCACAAGCGGCGGAGCAUGCGGAUUAAUUCGAUGCAACGCGAAGAACCUUACCAAGGCUUGACAUGUGCCGGUCGGCUCCGGAGACGGGGUUUCCUCCUUGUGGGGCCGGUUCACGGGUGGUGCAUGGUUGUCGUCAGCUCGUGUCGUGAGAUGUUGGGUUAAGUCCCGCAACGAGCGCAACCCUUGUCUCGUGUUGCCAGCACGUUGUGGUGGGGACUCGCGGGAGACUGCCGGGGUCAACUCGGAGGAAGGUGGGGAUGACGUCAAAUCAUCAUGCCCCUUAUGUCUUGGGCUUCACGCAUGCUACAAUGGCCGGUACAGAGGGCUGCGAUACUGUGAGGUGGAGCGAAUCCCUUAAAGCCGGUCUCAGUUCGGAUCGGUGUCUGCAACUCGACACCGUGAAGUUGGAGUCGCUAGUAAUCGCAGAUCAGCAACGCUGCGGUGAAUACGUUCUCGGGCCUUGUACACACCGCCCGUCACGUCAUGAGAGUCGGCAACACCCGAAGCCCGUGGCCUUAUGGGGAGCGGUCGAAGGUGGGGCU